UACGGAGGAUCCGAGCGUUAUCCGGAUUUAUUGGGUUUAAAGGGUGCGCAGGCGGGGGAUUAAGUCGGCGGUGAAAUUUUGCAGCUCAACUGUAAAAGUGCCUUCGAAACUGAUUUCCUUGAGUGUAGAUGAAGUAGGCGGAAUUUGUGGUGUAGCGGUGAAAUGCAUAGAUAUCACGAGGAACUCCGAUUGCGCAGGCAGCUUACUAAACUACUACUGACGCUCAGGCACGAAGGCGUGGGGAUCAAACAGGAUUAGAUACCCUGGUA
rnacentral:rRNA from 1 species